rnacentral:rRNA from 1 species
UACAGGCUUAACACAUGCAAGUCGAGGGGCAGCAUGGUCUUAGCUUGCUAAGGCCGAUGGCGACCGGCGCACGGGUGAGUAACACGUAUCCAACCUGCCGUCUACUCUUGGACAGCCUUCUGAAAGGAAGAUUAAUACAAGAUGGCAUCAUGAGUCCGCAUGUUCACAUGAUUAAAGGUAUUCCGGUAGACGAUGGGGAUGCGUUCCAUUAGAUAGUAGGCGGGGUAACGGCCCACCUAGUCUUCGAUGGAUAGGGGUUCUGAGAGGAAGGUCCCCCACAUUGGAACUGAGACACGGUCCAAACUCCUACGGGAGGCAGCAGUGAGGAAUAUUGGUCAAUGGGCGAGAGCCUGAACCAGCCAAGUAGCGUGAAGGAUGACUGCCCUAUGGGUUGUAAACUUCUUUUAUAAAGGAAUAAAGUCGGGUAUGGAUACCCGUUUGCAUGUACUUUAUGAAUAAGGAUCGGCUAACUCCGUGCCAGCAGCCGCGGUAAUACGGAGGAUCCGAGCGUUAUCCGGAUUUAUUGGGUUUAAAGGGAGCGUAGAUGGAUGUUUAAGUCAGUUGUGAAAGUUUGCGACUCAACCGUAAAAUUGCAGUUGAUACUGGAUAUCUUGAGUGCAGUUGAGGCAGGCGGAAUUCGUGGUGUAGCGGUGAAAUGCUUAGAUAUCACGAAGAACUCCGAUUGCGAAGGCAGCCUGCUAAGCUGCAACUGACAUUGAGGCUCGAAAGUGUGGGUAUCAAACAGGAUUAGAUACCCUGGUAGUCCACACGGUAAACGAUGAAUACUCGCUGUUUGCGAUAUACUGCAAGCGGCCAAGCGAAAGCGUUAAGUAUUCCACCUGGGGAGUACGCCGGCAACGG